rnacentral:rRNA from 1 species
GACAGCGGAGGCAAGCGUUAGCCGGUAAUAUUGGGCGUAAAGCGUCCGUAGUUGGGUUGGCAAGCCUGGGAUUAAAGCCCGGAGCCUAACUCCGGAUCGGCUCUGGAAACUGCCAGACUAGAGUAAGGUAGGGGUUGCCGGAAUUCCCGGUGUAGCGGUGAAAUGCGUAGAUAUCGGGAAGAACACCAGUGGCGAAAGCGCGCAACUGGGACCUUACUGACACUGAGGGACGAAAGCUACUGGAGCGAAGGGG